AUGAAAAAUAUGGACAACGACGUGUGGUGUUUGCGCAUUUAAGUGAUCGCUCAGUCGUACAAACUCGUGCUUCAAGAUAAUAUCUACACAUCAUUUAUGUGAUAUUGGUUAGCAGGGAGACAAUGUGAAAUGCGCGGCAAUUUACAAGAUCCAAGCGGACAGAAACCUGCGAAAGUACCACAAAAGAACCAUAGGGCACGUUAAAACUUCAUUGAAUCGUACCCUUAUCCAGCGAUAGCAACAUCCGUAAAGAAGCUGAUCAAUACACAGCUUACUCGGGUCGCAAAACCCUUACUGUGUUCUAUAUUGCUCCAGGCUAAAUUGGUAACUAUUUAGAAUUUAGCAGAUCAUAGGCUGCAGUUACACGGUUAGACACCUUCGAAUUGGUUUUCCGUUCAACGCACUCGUACAGACGGGUCCCGCAAGACGGUCUUACAACAAGAUCGAAACAAGUAUUGGCCACCUGUUGAUAUCACAAGAAGGUUUUGUGUACGUACAGAAUGCCGAUGGAUUACCGAUGAAAAACAACCAGGACCACGUAUCCGACAAACGUAUUUAGACGCUCUCCAAUGCUCUGAAACAUGACCAGGCCGAGCGGAAUGCCCACAAGUGCGUAAAAC